AUGCUGAUUUUCUCAAAGGCAGAGAAAAGUCAGAGCAAAGCUGAAGUUCUCCAAAGCAGAUGUUGCCAAGAACUUGCCUAUCAACCACGGAAUAGAGAGCAGCUUGAGACUCAAGAGACCUUCCACUUUGAUACUCUUAACUGGCCUUCAGAAUUCAAUCAUCCAGUGAGUUGCAAGAGAGACUUCAGUCUCAGGCGUUCUGAGUUGUGCAGUGCACUGUGUGUGAUCUAUCAGUCAUGGAUGAAAGACAACCUGAGGCCACUCCCAGCCCUGCGAGUGUGAGCACCAGCAGGAAGAUGGAUGAAUACUUAAGGCCUGGCCAAGGCAAGAAAAACUUGCUGAGCUUUUUACUAGGAAGACAACUGGGAAGGCACAACAGUGAGGCAGAAAUGUCAAAGUGGGUGUGGAUGCUGACACGAGCAACUCCAGGGUGGAGGUGGCCUUUGCCAAAACACCAUGUUACUUACAUGCUUAUGCCCACCCCGAAUCAUUCAAAACACUUCCAGAAGAGUGAAAAAUAAAACUUCUUGUUUCUGCUGUUGCGG